rnacentral:lncRNA from 1 species
UGUUCUUUGAGAAGCAUGAAAACUACAAGGUAAUGUUGCUUCCUGUAUGAUGUGUUAAGAAGAGUAAUUGAAAUCUACUAGUGAGAUUAAUCAGCCAUAUGUAAAUGACCUGUAUCAAUUGGAGCACUUGAUUUGCACAUUGAUAUCUGUCCUUCCAUUUGAUUCUUUGGGAAAAGUUUAAGAGAGUUUGACUGAUAAGGUGUCAUGCAGUUCAAUGGACUUGCAUGGCUCUUUUUGGGAGUUCCUACAAGCAGCUCUUUGCUCUACAAGGAGGUGAGACUGUAACACGCUUUGAUGACUUCUCCUCUUCCUUCUGGUGUUCAAAAACAAAUGGCCUUGCAUUGCUAGCUUCUCUGCUUUGGAUCUCCAGGAAUUUGAGAAGAUGAAAGAGUUGGCACCCGAAAAUUUCCGUCUAGAUUUUGCUGUCAGCAGAGAACAAACAAAUGAAAAGGGAGAGAAGAUGUACAUCCAGACUCGUAUGGCACAAUAUGCAAGUGAGCUGUGGGAGCUACUGAAGAAGGACAACACCUUUGUGUACAUGUGUGGAUUGAAAGGAAUGGAGAAGGGUAUUGAUGAUAUCAUGGUUUCCUUGGCUGCCAAAGAUGGUAAGAUGUGUGGCUUGAUCUCAAAGAGAAAGAAGAAAACUUGAGUAAACUUGAUAUCAGUUUCCUGAUCCUUUGUUUUAAUUAACAGGCAUUGAUUGGCUGACCUACAAGAGGGAACUGAAGAAGGCAGAACAAUGGAAUGUGGAGGUCUAUUGAUGCAUUUUGUUGCAACCUAUCUCUCUUCAAAAACCAACCUUCAUCAUAUGCUAUACUUGAUGUAGAUAACAAGUUGUCUUGUGUUCUGUGUUAUGUCCUUGUAGUUUUUAACUAUUUUAGUUGCCCUCCUAUUCUGUGAAAAGAA